UGUGAAUCAGCCCAUUCAAAUUGUCCUAUUUGUUCUCUGACUUUUUGUCUUAAACAGACCAUAACCUUCAGGUUUAUUCACUUGCAGUUAUAGGCGCUCAGUGCAAAGCAGCUUCGGACACCAACCUAUAGGAGAGCAUGGCUGGUGAGUCAGUUACCACACUGGCUUUUCUGCUCUGCUGUCUGGGCCUCCCAGCUGUACGUCUGUCUCUCUCUGAAGCACGUAGACUGAUGGUCAGAGAUUCUGUAACUGGGGCAUCAGCUACACUGACAUCCAGUGAGCGGGACUCAGACCAGCUGAUGAAUCUCUGAGGUGGAGGUGUGACUGAGGGUCUUACUCUGAUGGUCAGAGAUUCUGUAACUGGGGCAUCAGCUACACUGACAUCCAGUGAGCGGGACUCAGACCAGCUGAUGAAUCUCUGAGGUGGAGGUGUGACUGAGGGUCUUACUCUGAUGGUCAGAGAUUCUGUAACUGGGGCAUCAGCUACACUGACAUCCAGUGAGCGGGACUCAGACCAGCUGAUGAAUCUCUGAGGUGGAGGUGUGACUGAGGGUCUUACUCUGAUGGUCAGAGAUUCUGUAACUGGGGCAUCAGCUACACUGACAUCCACUGAGCCGGACUCAGACCAGCUGAUGAAUCUCUGAGGUGGAGGUGUGACUGAGGGUCUUACUCUGAUGGUCAGAGAUUCUGUAACUGGGGCAUCAGCUACACUGACAUCCAGUGAGCCGGACUCAGACCAGCUGAUGAAUCUCUGAGGUGGAGGUGUGACUGAGGGUCUUACUCUGAUGGUCAGAGAUUCUGUAACUGGGGCAUCAGCUACACUGACAUCCAGUGAGCCGGACUCAGACCAGCUGAUGAAUCUCUGAGGUGGAGGUGUGACUGAGGGUCUUACUCUGAUGGUCAGAGAUUCUGUAACUGGGGCAUCAGCUACACUGACAUCCAGUGAGCCGGACUCAGACCAGCUGAUGAAUCUCUGAGGUGGAGGUGUGACUGAGGGUCUUACUCUGAUGGUCAGAGAUUCUGUAACUGGGGCAUCAGCUACACUGACAUCCAGUGAGCCGGACUCAGACCAGCUGAUGAAUCUCUGAGGUGGAGGUGUGACUGAGGGUCUUACUCUGAUGGUCAGAGAUUCUGUAACUGGGGCAUCAGCUACACUGACAUCCAGUGAGCGGGACUCAGACCAGCUGAUGAAUCUGAGGCAGAGGUGUGACUGAGGGUCUGCUCCUGCUCUGCUGUCUGUAAAAGACACUUUUGCCAUGUUACUGUCAGAUGGGCUUUGCUCUGUGAAGUUGCAGGACAUCCUGCUUCUCAAUAUCUGUGUGUCUGGCUGUUGGUGUUAAAGGCUAUAUAUGCUACUUUCUGCGCAAUUGUAAACAACCUAUAUAUUUAAAUGAGGUUUUUCAUUGGCUAAACAGAAAGAGGAAAUGUCUGUCUUCAGUAGU